rnacentral:lncRNA from 1 species
UACAUGCACCAUAUGCUGGUUCAAUAAGAAAAAGAGUGAUGCACUUAUUGUCUCAAAAGUUCAAUAAGUAAGGAGUGUUUCAUUAGGCAGUUUUGUAUCCAUUAAACUCGUGCCAUCCACUCACCGUGUAUCCUAGUUGAUGAGAUGUCAUAUUUGAACCCUAUCAACCGGAAAGGAGGGAGUAACUUUUAAGUUGCAACAUAUUAUUAAUCUAAUUUACCAUAUCGAUGACUGGUAAGGAGAGCUCCUAUGCUGCGCUACAGGCGUUUGUUAACGAUCCAGCGCCUACAACACUGCUAGCAUGGGCCAGCUCAUUAGAGUGCUGCCC